rnacentral:rRNA from 1 species
UAGGGAAUUUUCGUCAAUGGGGGCAACCCUGAACGAGCAAUGCCGCGUGAGCGAAGAAGGUCUUCGGAUUGUAAAGCUCUGUUGCCGGGGAAAAAGGAGG